GAGUUUGAUCAUGGCUCAGGACGAACGCUGGCGGCGUGCCUAAUACAUGCAAGUCGAACGCGUCUCCGUUAAUGAUUUUAGGUGCUUGCACUUGAAAGAUUUAACAUUGAGACGAGUGGCGAACUGGUGAGUAACACGUGGGUAACCUGCCCUUGAAGUAGGGGAUAACACUUGGAAACAGGUGCUAAUACCGUAUAACAACCAAAACCACCUGGUUUUGGUUUAAAAGACGGCUUCGGCUGUCACUUUAGGAUGGACCCGCGGCGUAUUAGCUUGUUGGUAAGGUAACGGCCUACCAAGGCGAUGAUACGUAGCCGACCUGAGAGGGUAAUCGGCCACAUUGGGACUGAGACACGGCCCAAACUCCUACGGGAGGCAGCAGUAGGGAAUCUUCCACAAUGGACGAAAGUCUGAUGGAGCAACGCCGCGUGAGUGAUGAAGGGUUUCGGCUCGUAAAACUCUGUUGUUGGAGAAGAACAGGUGUCAGAGUAACUGUUGACAUCUUGACGGUAUCCAACCAGAAAGCCACGGCUAACUACGUGCCAGCAGCCGCGGUAAUACGUAGGUGGCAAGCGUUGUCCGGAUUUAUUGGGCGUAAAGCGAGCGCAGGCGGUUUUUUAGGUCUGAUGUGAAAGCCUUCGGCUUAACCGGAGAAGUGCAUCGGAAACCGGGAGACUUGAGUGCAGAAGAGGACAGUGGAACUCCAUGUGUAGCGGUGAAAUGCGUAGAUAUAUGGAAGAACACCAGUGGCGAAGGCGGCUGUCUGGUCUGUAACUGACGCUGAGGCUCGAAAGCAAGG
rnacentral:rRNA from 1 species